rnacentral:lncRNA from 1 species
UCCGGAUGUCCUGCUCCACCAAAUGAACAGAACUGUAGCAUUGGGAUAUGUCCAGGAGAGCCGCCGCGUACCCAGCUGCCGGGUUUCUGUGGAGGUUCGGAGACGGCGGAGAGGAGAGGCGGAUGGGGUUGGAGAACGAAGGGGUGGAAGAUAAAGGGGGAGGCUUUUGAAGAAAAGAUGGGGUCUUGGUGGAGAUGAAGCUGCUGGGUUUGGUGGUGGUGGAGUGGAGGCUGUGGAGGAGGUUGGGCGGCUGUGGUUGCGGAGGGAGUUUGUGAGUUUUUCUGGGACUUUGAG